ACGCUGAACAUUACCAAAGGAGCCAUCGUGUUCAUCAGUCUGCUGAUCGCUGUGGUGCUGCUGGCUGUCUUUCACAGGUGUAAAGCAGGAACGUGGUUCUUCAAUAAAACAUCCAUGCCGUGGGAAGCCGACUUCUGGAAGAAGAACGAGAGGCUGCCAAGAGACGCUGCUGAGUCUAAUGGCAGGACUGCUCAAGAGAAGGGACUAACAGACGAGGAAACACCAAUGACCUAGACUGUGAAACAAUGCCAAGUCAGGUGUAAACGUGAAGCUGAACUGUUUCAGAAAAUCCAGAAGUACGCAUUGGAUUGGUGCGUCCUUUGUUUACAGUACAAAUAUUAUUGGAAAUCUUUUAAUAGUAGAGUCAGCUCCAAUGCCUCAAAUUUAGAAUGAAUAAAAACUGCCCAAAUUUGAGAAAAGAGGGCACUUACGACUCUUGAAAAGACAUUUUUUUUAAAGACUUAAGUUCUGCUGCUUUUUUAAAAAAGACACUAAAAAUAAAGUUACUUAGCAUGAAAUAAAAAGCCGAGACUGUAAUCAAAGCUUCUAGACUUGAAGCAGACCUUCCUGACAAUGUUUUCAAUGUUUUAAGAGGCAGUAAGGGGCCUCAAAGUUUAGACAAUACUCGGAAACUGCAAACGCCUUUUCAUGGAGAUGGACAGUGUUCCUGACACCGAGCGGUACCUCAUUAAAGCGAGCAGGUCUGCAGUGGAUCCAUGCGGCCUCACAGUUAGACAGGAGGUUGGAGUGUGUGGGGAGGACCUGGACGGACAGCAGAGGGGAAAAAAGACGCCAUUGUUUAGUUUGGGCUGCUGGCUCAAACAACAAGCAAAGCAUUGUACAGGUCUGCUGGCUCGUGAGUGUUCUGAACAAAUAUUGCGGGAUUUUCAGCUCGAAAAAAGUCAAUCAGCUAUUUUUUAUUUUUGGUGCUCUCUCGUUAUCAGAUGUUGAUCUAAUUCACACCGUCUUUGACUGUAUUUUAGUGUUUGUCCUGUUUUAGAUUUUGAAGGACUGUUUUUUUUGUUUCUUUUUGCACUUUUCUUUUCUCUCUUGUGGGGAUUUUUAUUCUUGAAUGUUUCCUUGUUGUUUAAAAUAAGUUGCACUUCAAUACAACUGGAAGUUUAAGCUUUUUUAUUAAUACAUUUAAUUCCAGAUUAUUUCAGCAAUUUGUUUGUGGUUUGUUUUUCACAUUUAAAUAUUUGGCACUGAUGCUUUUAUGUUCAAAAAAAGUUUUAGACGCUCAAAAUUUCCCACAAAAGGCACUGAGUUAUUCAUACGCUGUUAGCUUUGUAUUUAUUGUGGCUGGUUUUAGGAUAUAUAGAAUGUAGAUGUAUAAACGAAGUGUUUUUUUUUUUUUUAUAUAUAAAAACUGUGUUUAAUAAAAGCAAUAGAAU